GAUUAACGCUGGCGGCGUGCAUAACACAUGCAAGUCGAACGAUGAAACUUAAAUGAUUUCUUCGGAAUGAACUUAAGCGAAUUAGUGGCGGACGGGUGAGUAACGCGUGAGUAACCUGCCUUACACAAGGGGCUAGCCGUUGGAAACGACGAAUAAUACCCUAUGAAACUAUCACUUCGCAUGUAGCGAUAGUCAAAGUGUUAGUGGCGUGAGAUGGACUUGCGUCUGAUUAGCUAGGUGGUGAGAAUAAAGCCCACCAAGACAACUAGCAGUAGCCGGCGUGUGACAGUCCACAGCGGCAUUGGGACAGGGACACGGCCCAGACUCCAACGAGAAGCAGCAGUUAGGAAUCAUGCACAAGAGGGCAGAUGCAGAAGCAGCGAGUCCGGGAUAUUGGGAAGGGGUUCGUAUUGUAAAUAUCUUUGUGAUAGGAAGAAAGUGACGGUACUAGACGAAUAAGGACCGGCUAAUUACGUG
rnacentral:rRNA from 1 species